CUGAGACCCCAGAAGCCUGAGCAAGGAUUGAGAAAGGGUGAGGCUAAGGUCCCGAGCCUUCGUGAAGCAAUGGAGAAAGUGCCGUCCCAAGGCUCAGUUCCACACGGCGCUGUGAGGCUGAAGGGGCUCACUGGAAGUUCCCCUCACAGGACGCCACCUCACCUGAAACCCUCUUUUUCUGCUACCAUCCAAGGGACAAGAUCUCCUGAGUUGUCGAAGACUCACUCCGGAAGAAAACCCUCUCAGGCAGUUACUGAGGGACUGUGGUCUGGACUAGAACGUGUUUUUCUCAGUGACACCUCUAGAGGGCAGCACUCAACGGAGUCCCACAGACACCUCCCUGCAUUUCCUCCUCAGACACUGGGUGGAUGAUAUGGUAACACUGGGGAAUGCUUGGGUGUUCUCCUGGAAGCUCCUUAUUUUAAUCACCUGUUUACUUGUCUCCAUUCUUAUAGAUAUGUAGGCUACCCGAGGGCAGAGACUGAGUCUGUCUUGUUCACUGUCUACCUCCAGAACCUCACACAGAAUCUGGCACUUAGUAGGUGCACAACAAAAUAAUCAUUGAAUUAGUAUACUGAGUCUUUAACAGGAAAAAGCUGAGACAGGUUACAACGGGAGUGCCAGAGAGAUGUCACUUAAAAUGAGAACUUCUCAGGGUUUGAGAAAGGUGAGUCCCAAGCCCUCGUGAAGCAUUGGAGAAAGUGCCGCCCCGAGGUUCAGGUCCACACAGCGCUGUGAGGCUGAAGGGGCGCGCUAGAAGUUCCUUUCACAGGACGCCACCUCACCUGAAACCCUCCUUUUCUGCUGACACCCGAGGGACAAGAUCUUCUGAGUUUUUCCAUUACUUACUCUGGAGGAAAACCCUCAGGCAGUUAGUUACUGAGGGACUCUGGUCUGGACUGGGAAGUGUUUUUCUCAGUGACACCUCUAGAAGGCAGCACUUAGCGGAGUCCCACAGACACCUCCCAGCAUUUCCUGCUCAAACACUGGGAGGAUGGCCUGGUAACACUGGGGAAUGCCUGGGUGUUCUAGAAGCCCCCACCCCUGAUUUUAACCACGUGUUUUCUUAUCUGAGUCCUUGUAGACAUGUAUGUAGUCUGCCUUAGGGCAGGAAUUGUGUCUACCUUGUUCACUGCCAAUCCUCAGGACAGAACCUGGCACUUAAUAGGUGCACAACAAAAUAACCACUGGCUGAAUAUACUCAGUAUUUAACAGGCAGUUUGUCACAAUCCACUCCCUCCCUGACCUCAUUGUGGUUUAUAGUUUAUGUUUAAUGACAUUUAGUUUCCAUGUACUUAGCAUUUUAUUGUAUAAAUUUCUCAUAUAUAUAAAAAAUACACAUAAAAUACAAUGGUCCUCUUUGUUUCAAUCAUCUAGCUGCAGUAAUCACCAACCCAAGCCUGUCUUUCAUUUGUAUGCCCAGCUUCUCUCCUCCUCUGUCAUAAUAUGAAACAAAUCUGAGGUAUCAUAUUAUCUCAUCCUAAAUACUUCAGUGUGUAUCUCUGAAACAUAACAGAAACAUCAUACCUAACAUCACAAAAUGACACUAAAAAAUUUAACAGUAAUUCUUUAAUAUUAUCUAACAUUCAAUCAAUAUUCAGGUUUCUAAUUUUUAUGUGUCAUAAGU
rnacentral:lncRNA from 10 species